GAGGGGUAGGCAGUCGGGUGGACAGGCAGCUGCAGAGGCUCAGCCCCAUUGGCUGGCCCUUCCCCAUUGGGCAGUCCGGGGUCUGAACAUGGUUGCCCACUGGUAUGUCACCUGCCCCUGCUUUUUCUGUUCAGACUUGAACUACAUAACUGUUUCCUUCCGGCAGAUGGGGCAGGGCAGAUAUUGCAGAGGGCUGUAAGCCAGUUAGAGCCAGGGUUAGUUCUCCUAAGGCAGCUCUUCUAAGGAGCUCUCCAGGUCCAUCCAGCCAGGUCCAUCCAGCCCAGCAUUUUCUGUUCCAACUGGCAGAGGUUUCCCAGGGUCUCCAGGCAGACGAUCUCCCGACUACCUGAGAUGUUUUGAUGGGAGAUGCCACCGAUUGAACCCUUUCCAGCCAUACAGGUGCAGACACACCCAGACACACAAGAACAAAGAACAAUGGUCUCAGCCAGUAGCUGGUAGGCUGCACCUGCUUUUCUCUUCAAGCUGCAUAUUCCAGCCCAGACAUCCUCCAUCCCUCUCUCUGACCUUCCUCUCCCCACAGCUGCAGCCAGUUUAUCUAACAGGGUAUCUAAUUUAUGUGGAAAACAAAUGUGCCC